GAUGAAGAACGCAGCGAAAUGCGAUAAGUAAUGUGAAUUGCAGAAUUCAGUGAAUCAUCGAAUCUUUGAACGCACAUUGCGCCCCCUGGUAUUCCGGGGGGCAUGCCUGUUCGAGCGUCAUUUCACCACUCAAGCCUCGCUUGGUAUUGGGCGACGCGGUCCGCCGCGCGCCUCAAAUCGACCGGCUGGGUCUUCCGUCCCCUCAGCGUUGUGGAAACUAUUCGCUAAAGGGUGCCGCGGGAGGUCACGCCGCAAAACAACCCCAUUUCUAAGGUUGACCUCGGAUCAGGUAGGGAUACCCGCUGAACUUAAGCAUAUCAUAAGCGGAGGA
rnacentral:misc_RNA from 1 species